GACAAAAUGGGUGUUUAUUCUGAAAUUGUGAAACCUGUGUGGAGUUGUAGUUGUGUGACACGUGUGGGGACCUAUGCAGUGCUGGCACCCUGGAGAAUACUCUCCACUGCUUAAUAUUGGGCUCACGGAUGUCUGUCCCUGGAUGCAGUCACCUUAGGGCUUAGUUUUGUGGAGUCUUUCCCCUGCCCUUGAACUCGAGCUCGUGUCCAUCGCGUGAGAGGAGGAGUUCUCGUUUUCAGGUCUGAGUAACCCCUUUCCAUCACCAAGUCCGGUCUGCCCCGGAGCUGUGUGCCAUCUCUGCAGUUUGGUGACCACGCCCAGCUGACCCUCCCCCUCACCGUGGCCCAGGUUCCUCGAGAGCUUUCUCAGUCGUGUGGGUCGCGCCACCGCAGAUCGGUACCAUGGACAGCCUCACCGUCGACCGACCAGCGUGCUUCUUCCCUGAGCAUUUUCAUGCGAGCCCCGUAAGCUGUGAGAAGUUUUAUUCCCUUAUCUUUGGGUUAGCUACUUCAUGUGGAUGACUUGAAGCUUAGAAUGUUUAUGUAUAUAUCUUAUGGAAAGGCUUCACCCUUCCAAUUAUUGUAAUAAGUUAUGCACUUCAAGUACUAU